rnacentral:rRNA from 1 species
GCCCUUCACUACGGAAUAGCCUUUGGAAACGAAGAGUAAUACCGUAUACGCCCUUUUGGGGAAAGAUUUAUCGGUGAAGGAUUAGCCCGCGUCUGAUUAGAUAGUUGGUGGGGUAACGGCCUACCAAGUCGACGAUCAGUAGCUGGUUUGAGAGGAUGAUCAGCAACACUGGGACUGAGACACGGCCCAGACUCCUACGGGAGGCAGCAGUGGGGAAUCUUAGACAAUGGGCGCAAGCCUGAUCUAGCCAUGCCGCGUGAGUGACGAAGGCCUUAGGGUCGUAAAGCUCUUUCGCCAGGGAUGAUAAUGACAGUACCUGGUAAAGAAACCCCGGCUAACUCCGUGCCAGCAGCCGCGGUAAUACGGAGGGGGUUAGCGUUGUUCGGAAUUACUGGGCGUAAAGCGCGCGUAGGCGGAUUGGAAAGUUGGGGGUGAAAUCCCGGGGCUCAACCCCGGAACUGCCUCCAAAACUAUCAGUCUAGAGUUCGAGAGAGGUGAGUGGAAUUCCAAGUGUAGAGGUGAAAUUCGUAGAUAUUUGGAGGAACACCAGUGGCGAAGGCGGCUCACUGGCUCGAUACUGACGCUGAGGUGCGAAAGUGUGGGGAGCAAACAGGAUUAGAUACCCUGGUAGUCCACACCGUAAACGAUGAAUGCCAGACGUCGGGGGGCUUGCCCUUCGGUGUCACACCUAACGGAUUAAGCAUUCCGCCUGGGGAGUACGG